rnacentral:rRNA from 1 species
UCAAAUUGGCAUCCAUUCGCCUCAUGCUGAGAAGGCUCUGUUCAAACUGAAUAACUUUCCGGACCGACUCUAAGUACUCGUGCAUGACCGAUAGCGAACAAGUACCGUGAGGGAAAGGUGAAAAGCACCCCGACAAGGGGAGUGAAAUAGAACCUGAAACCGGUUGCCUACAAGCAGUCGGAGGCCGCAAGGCUGACGGCGUACCUUUUGUAUAAUGGGUCAACGACUUAGUGUGUCGAGCAAGCUUAAGCCGGUAGGUGUAGGCGCAGCGAAAGCGAGUCUGAACAGGGCGUUCAGUUCGACGCAUUAGACCCGAAACCGAGUGAUCUAGCCAUGAGCAGGUUGAAGGUUGGGUAACACCAACUGGAGGACCGAACCCGCAUCUGUUGCAAUAGAUUGGGAUGACUUGUGGCUAGGGGUGAAAGGCCAAUCAAACUCGGAGAUAGCUGGUUCUCCGCGAAAUCUAUUUAGGUAGAGCGUCGACCGAAUACCUCAGGGGGUAGAGCACUGGAUGGGCUAUGGGGACUCACCGUCUUACUGAUCCUAACCAAACUCCGAAUACCUGAGAGUACUAGUCGGCAGACACACGGCGGGUGCUAACGUCCGUCGUGAAAAGGGCAACAACCCUGACCUCCAGCUAAGGUCCCCAAGUCAUGGCUAAGUGGGAAAGGAUGUGAGACUCCCAAAACAACCAGGAUGUUGGCUUAGAAGCAGCCAUCAUUUAAAGAAAGCGUAACAGCUCACUGGUCUAAUUAAGGGGUUUUGCGCCGAAAAUGUAACGGGGCUAAAGCCAUGCACCGAAGCUGAGGAUUGGACUUAAAGUCCAGUGGUAGCGGAGCGUUCCGUAAGCCUGCGAAGGAGGACCCGUGAGGGCCUCUGGAGGUAUCGGAAGUGCGAAUGUUGACAUGAGUAACGAUAAAGGGAGUGAGAGACUCCCUCGCCGAAAGACCAAGGGUUCCUGCUUAAAGUUAAUCUGAGCAGGGUUAGCCGGCCCCUAAGACGAGGCGGACACGCGUAGUCGAUGGGAACCACGUUAAUAUUCGUGGGCCUGGUGGUAGUGACGGAUUGCGUAACUUGUACAUUCUUAUUGGAUUGGGUGUGCAGGGAAGCGGUUCCAGGAAAUAGCUCCACCGUAUAGACCGUACCCGAAACCGACACAGGUGGUCAGGUAGAGAAUACCAAGGCGCUUGAGAGAACUCUGCUGAAGGAACUCGGCAAAUUGCACGCGUAACUUCGGAAGAAGCGUGACCCCAUGGCACGCAAGUGUUGUGGGGUGGCACAGACCAGGGGGUAGCGACUGUUUAUCAAAAACACAGGGCUCUGCGAAGUCGCAAGACGACGUAUAGGGUCUGACGCCUGCCCGGUGCUGGAAGGUUAAGAGGAGAGGUGCAAGCUUUGAAUCGAAGCCCCAGUAAACGGCGGCCGUAACUAUAACGGUCCUAAGGUAGCGAAAUUCCUUGUCGGGUAAGUUCCGACCUGCACGAAUGGCGUAACGACUUCCCCGCUGUCUCCAACGCAGACUCAGUGAAAUUGAAUUCCCCGUGAAGAUGCGGGGUUCCUGCGGUUAGACGGAAAGACCCCGUGCACCUUUACUAUAGCUUUACACUGGCAUUCGUGUCGGCAUGUGUAGGAUAGGUGGUAGACUUUGAAGCGGGGGCGCCAGCCUUCGUGGAGUCAUCCUUGAAAUACCACCCUUACCUAUAUGGAUGUCUAACCGCGGUCCGUUAUCCGGAUCCGGGACAGUGUAUGGUGGGUAGUUUGACUGGGGCGGUCGCCUCCUAAAGAGUAACGGAGGCGCGCGAUGGUGGGCUCAGACCGGUCGGAAAUCGGUCGUCGAGUGCAAUGGCAUAAGCCCGCCUGACUGCGAGACUGACAAGUCGAGCAGAGACGAAAGUCGGUCAUAGUGAUCCGGUGGUCCCGCGUGGAAGGGCCAUCGCUCAACGGAUAAAAGGUACGCCGGGGAUAACAGGCUGAUGACCCCCAAGAGUCCAUAUCGACGGGGUUGUUUGGCACCUCGAUGUCGACUCAUCGCAUCCUGGGGCUGGAGCAGGUCCCAAGGGUAUGGCUGUUCGCCAUUUAAAGCGGUACGUGAGUUGGGUUCAGAACGUCGUGAGACAGUUCGGUCCCUAUCUGCCGUGGGUGUAGGAAUAUUGACAGGAUCUGUCCCUAGUACGAGAGGACCGGGAUGGACGUAUCUCUGGUGGACCUGUUGUGGCGCCAGCCGCAUAGCAGGGUAGCUAUAUACGGACGGGAUAACCGCUGAAGGCAUCUAAGCGGGAAACCCACCUGAAAACGAGUAUUCCCUUGAGAGCCGUGGAAGACCACCACGUUGAUAGGCCGGGUGUGGAAGUGCGGCAACGCAUGAAGCUUACCGGUACUAAUAGCUCGAUUGGCUUGAUC